UCAAUUUCCGGUAGUCAACACAGAACCUUUGACUUCCAUCUUUCUUUGGGACCAGUACAACAGGAGAAGACCAGCCAGAAUAUGAUGGUUCAACAAUCCCAUCGUUGAGCAUUUCUUGAAGCUGCUGUUCUACAAUCAAUUGUUUUUCUGCAGACAUACGAACCUUUGGAGGCAGAAGUCACAGACAUUUUUCCACCAUGCGGUUCCGGCUUUGGAGAUCUUUGCAUGUUUUUGGAAGAUGGGCCCGACGACUGAUGAUCUCCAGCAGGGGACUGGUACUGGGGACAUGAACCAGGUCUUUCUCUAGCUGGUGACCAAGCCUCACAAGCUCGUCCACGGAAUUGACUCGUCCACGGAGAUGACUUGCAAGCUGCGGCCUAACACUCUUCAGGAUCAUUUUCACUAUCUCCAAAUCAGCAAUGUCAGGAUUCCAAUGCUUACAAAGAGCUCGAUAUGAAAAUGCAAAGUCUCGAAUAGACUCUUGUUCUCCUUGCCUCCGUUUCCUCACCCGGUCUGCUAACUCGUCUUCAUAGUCUUCGGACAAGAAAGCGGAAAGGAAGUCCUUCUGAAACUCAGCCCAAGACAUAACCUGAGUUCUGGCAAUCUCCCACCAAUCGUGAGCGGUGCCAUGCAGAACAGUCCUAAAGCUGGCAAGGAUCUCUGCAUCAGACAGAGGAUGAACAGCCAGAAAGUCUUGACACU